rnacentral:rRNA from 1 species
AUUGAACGCUGGCGGCAUGCCUUACACAUGCCAGUCGAGCGGAAGCACGGGUGCUUGCCCCUGGUGGCGUGUGGCGCAGGUGUGUGAAAUACAUCGGAACAUCUCCUGUAGUGGGGUAUCGCCCGGCGAAAGCCGCAUUAAUACCGCAUACGAUCUACGGAUAAAAGCGGGUGCCCUUCGGGCCUCGCGCUAUGCUGUUACCCGGUGGCUGAUUAGCUAGUUGGUGGGGUAAAGGUCUACCAAGGCGACGAUCAGUAGCUGGUCUGAGAGGAUGAUCAGCCACACUGGGACUGAGACACGGUCCAGACUCCUACGGGAGGCAGCAGUGGGGAAUAUUGGACAAUGGGCGAAAGCCUGAUCCAGCAAUGCCGCGUGUGUGAAGAAGGUCUUCGGAUUGUAAAGCACUUUUAUUCGGGAAGAAAACCUGUGUAAUAAUACGUUCGGGUGUUGACGUUACCGAAAGAAUAAGCACCGGCUAACUACGUG